UACAGAGACUGCAAGCGUUAUUCGGAUUCACUGGGCGUAAAGGGUGCGCAGGCGGUUGGGUGUGUCAGAUGUGAAAUCCCGAGGCUCAACCUCGGAACUGCGUCUGAAACUACUCGACUAGAGUACUGGAGAGGGUAACGGAAUUCACGGUGUAGCAGUGAAAUGCGUAGAUAUCGGGAGGAACACCUGUGGCGAAAGCGGCGCACUGGACCACAACUGACGCUGAGGCGCGAAAGCUAGGGGAGCAAACAGG
rnacentral:rRNA from 1 species